CCAAACGGCCUCAACAACGAGGCGAUGGCUCACCCUUGGGGUGGUAGAAAACCUCUGGCCUGGGUGUCUCCUCUCCCUCCUCACGAGUUAUAGAUAGCCCUCCUCCGAUCGCCAACCCCUUCCGAUCGCCAUUCCUCUCCUCUCCCCCCGGCCUCCUCCCCCUUCUCUUCCAUUCCUCCCCAUUUCCCCUCUCUAGCGCUCCGUUUCUAGGGUUUGAAUCUCGAGUGAGAGGGGGACGGCCAUGGCGGAGCAGAAUAAACGGUGGACGUGGGAGUUGCCGGGCUUCGAACCCAGAAAGUCCUUCGAGCGCGAUGAUCAGGAGCCCCACCCCGUGGUCCGGAGGCUCUCCGUCUCCCCGUCGUCCCUGGUGCAGCGCCCUGAGCUCCCGAAGCAGCCCCUCGCUGUCAAGUUCCAGAAGUUGAAGGACCAACUCCAGCAUACUAGAGAGGACUACUUGGAGUUGAGACAGGAAGCAAGUGACCUUAGAGAAUACUCGAAUGCCAAACUUGACAGAGUUACUCGCUAUCUGGGUGUUCUUGCUGACAGGGCUCACAAACUAGAUCAAGCUGCUCUUGAAACUGAGGCCAGAAUUAGUCCUUUGAUCAAUGAGAAGAAAAAGUUGUUCAAUGAAUUGUUAACUGCCAAAGGAAAUGUGAAGGUAUUUUGUCGUACACGGCCACUAUUUGAAGAUGAGGGCCCAUCUAUAGUUGAGUUUCCUGAUGAAUUUACCAUCCGUAUAAACACUGGUGAUGAUUCUCUUACCAAUCCUAAGAAGGAUUAUGAAUUUGAUAGGGUUUAUGGGCCCCAUGUUGGACAAGGGGAAUUUUUUCGUGAUGUUCAACCAUUUGUACAGUCAGCCUUGGAUGGAUAUAAUGUUUCUGUGUUUGCAUAUGGACAAAGUCGUUCUGGAAAAACACAUACAAUGGAAGGAUCUAGCCAUGAACGUGGUUUGUAUCAGCGGAGUUUUGAGGAGCUCUUUGAUCUAUCCAAUUCAGAUACCACAUCCACAUCUCAAUAUAGUUUUUAUGUUACGGCCUUUGAGCUUUACAAUGAGCAGGUUCAAGAUCUGCUAGGAGAAUCCAUAAACAGCAUAUCGAGAAUAAACAUCGGUCCCCAAGAUUCAUUCGUGGAACUUGUGCAGCAGAAAGUUGAUAAUCCUUUGGACUUUUCUAUGUUACUAAAAGAGGCAAUCCAAAACCGAGGCAGAGAUUCUGCAAAGGCUACCGUGUCACAUCUGGUUGUCACCAUUCAUAUACACUAUACGAAUUGCGUCACUAGGGAAAGUUUGUACAGCAAGCUUUCUCUUGUAGAUUUACCUGGAAGUGAGUGCUUACAUGUGGAAGAUGCUAGUGGGGAUCAUGUAACAGACCUUUUGCAUGUAUCAAAAUCACUUUCUGCGUUGGGGGAUGUUUUGUCAUCAUUGACUUCGAAGAAAGAAAUCAUACCAUAUGAAAAUUCAAGGCUGACGCAAUUGCUUGCUGACUCGCUGGGUGGUAGCUCAAAGACCUUGAUGAUUGUCCAUGUUUGUCCAAUUGCUUCAAAUCUGUCGAAAACAUUGUCCACCCUUAAUUUUUCUGCAAGAGCAAGAAAUGCUGAACUAAGCCUUGGAAAUCGAGAUACGAUUAAAAAAUGGAAAGAUGUGGCUAAUGAUUCUCGAAAAGAACUGUAUGAGAAAGAAAAGGAAGUUCAUGAUCUGAGGAAUGAAGUUAUUGAGCUAAAGCUUGCUCUUAAAGAUGCCAAUGAUCAAUGCAUUCUGCUGUUCAAUGAAGUUCAAAAAGCCUGGAAAGUUUCUUUUACACUUCAGACAGAUUUGAAGUCAGAAAAUAUACUACUGGCAGACAAACAAAAAAUUGAGAAAGAGCAGAACACUCAGCUUAGGAAUCAGGUUGCUCAUCUUUUGCAACUCGAGCAAGAGCAGAAAAUGCAGAUACAUGAACGUGAUUUAACCAUUCAGGCCCUGCAGACCAAAAUUAAGGGUAUUGAGUUCCAGCUUAAUGAGGCCCUUCACUCUAAUGAUGCUAGAUCGACUGUUGGGUCUGACUCUAGGUCUACAGGGGUUCUUUCAACUCCAAAAUUAGUGGAGGAAAGUGUUGAUUCUUCACUGGUGACCAAAAAACUCGAGGAAGAACUCUCAAAGAGGGAUGCACUUAUUGAGAAAUUGCAUCAGGAGAAUGAGAAGCUGUUUGACAGACUAACGGAGAAGUCAGCAUUUGGUGGCUCACCACAGGUGUCGAGUCCAUCUGCCAAGAGAUCAGUUAACAUACAGGGACGGGAUUUAAGCAGGAGUGAUAGCAGCAAAGGACGCACUGUAGAUGUCCUUCCAUUGCCGGCAGCCCAGGAUAAAACUGAAAGCACAGGAGCUCUUGUAAAAGCAGGCAAUGACAAAACUAAGACAACUCCUGCUGGAGAAUAUCUAACUGCUGCACUGAUGGAUUUUGAUCCAGAUCAAUUUGAGAGCUUUGCUGCUAUUGCUGAUGGAGCAAACAAGCUUUUGAUGCUGGUUUUGGCUGCAGUAAUCAAAGCUGGUGCUGCACGUGAACAUGAAAUACUUGCUGAAAUCAGAGAUGCUGUUUUUUCAUUCAUUCGAAAAAUGGAACCAAGGAGGGUAAUGGAUACCAUGCUAGUUUCACGAGUUAGAAUUUUGUACGUAAGGUCUUUGCUUGCUAGGUCACCAGAGCUGCAAUCCAUUAAGGUUUCUCCAGUUGAACGUUUUCUAGAGAAAGCUAACAGUGGCAGAAGUAGAAGUUCCAGCCGGGGUAAUAGCCCAGGCAGAUCUCCUGUUCAUUAUGAUUCCAGUGCAAGGACUGCUAUUGUUGAUGAACAGAUCCAUGGUUUUAAGGUUAAUAUAAAACAAGAAAAGAAGUCCAAGUUUUCAUCCAUUGUCUUAAAGCUUCGAGGGAUUGACCAGGAAACAUGGAGGCAGCAUGUUACUGGUGGAAAGCUCCGGGAAAUAAUUGAGGAAGCCAAAGCUUUUGCAGUUGGGAACAAGGCUCUUGCUGCUCUUUUUGUUCACACGCCAGCUGGAGAGCUGCAACGUCAAAUCCGAUCAUGGCUUGCAGAGAAUUUUGAGUUUCUUUCUGUUACUGGUAGUGAUGCAAUAGGAGGAACGACUGGGCAACUAGAACCUCUGUCCACUGCAAUAAUGGAUGGAUGGAUGGCUGGUCUUGGUACUGCACAGCCUCCUAGCACUGACGCUUUAGGCCAGCUUUUAUCUGAAUACACUAAGAGAGUUUACAAAUCACAAUUGCAACACCUGAAGGAUAUAGCAGGUACCUUGGCAACGGAACAGGCUGAUGACCUUGCCCAUGUGAAUAAACUUCGUUCGGCCCUAGAGUCAGUUGAUCAUAAGAGAAAGAAGAUUUUACAACAAAUGAGGAGUGAUACGGCCUUGCUAACAACAGAAGGUGGUUCACCCAUCAGGAAUCCUUCAACUGCAGCUGAAGAUGCACGGUUGGCAUCUCUCAUAUCUUUGGAUAGCAUCCUGAAACAAGUGAAGGAAAUAACGAGACAAGCUUCUGUAAGCUCUCUUACCAAAACCAAAAAGAAAGCAAUGCUAGCAUCUCUGGAAGAACUCUCAGAACGGAUGCCAUCACUGCUUGAUAUUGAUCAUCCAUGUGCCCAGAGGCAGAUUUUAGAUGCUCGGAGAUUAGUAGAGUCCAUACGUGAAGAGGAUGGCCACUUUGAUCACGAAGCACGAACCAACCAACCAUAUGCAGAUCCAUUAUCGGCUGCAGAGGCUGAGGUAACUCAGUGGAAUGUGUUGCAGUUCAACACAGGGACUACAACCCCAUUCAUCAUAAAAUGUGGAGCAAACUCGAACUCUGAGCUUGUCAUCAAAGCAGAUGCCCGGGUCCAAGAACCAAAAGGAGGUGAAAUUAUAAGGGUUGUUCCAAGGCCUUCAGUUCUUGCUCAUAUGAGCUUUGAGGAGAUCAAACAAGUAUAUGAGCAGUUGCCUGAGGCAGUUAGCUUGCUCGCCCUUGCACGAACAGCUGAUGGUUCCAGAGCUAGGUACUCUAGAUUGUACAGGACUUUGGCUAGUAAAGUUCCGGCUCUAAGGGAUCUAGUUGCAGAGUUGGAAAAGGGAGGUAUGUUUAAAGACGUGAGGUCAUAAAUGCAGGAGCGUCGUCUUGUACUAUAAAAACAUAUACGUCUUGCAAAUUGCUGCCUCAUUCUUGUAAGAUGAUUCACUAUUUUAUGAUAUCCUCUCAAGGGAUAGGUACAGUUUUCAACAAGCUUGACUUGUAAUGUCACUCCUGUUUACAGUAUUAUUUUCACAAUGAGGCACGUAGAAAAUAGCCUUCCAAGCAUGCAAAAAUCAGUUAGAAUAAGCAACAAUGUAACAAUCCAUUCUAUUUUGGCGGAGCAAAGUAAUGGUGGUGGAUCAAUAAGUGGUCAUGUAAUUUUCUCCAUAUACUGAAUGUUAGAAUGUAGUGAUUGAGAAAAUGAGAUACUAUUUGGUGUUGGUGGUGCAAAGCAAUUUGCAUUAUGCAUGUUUCCUUCGC